AUACAUGCAAGUCGAGCGCGGGAAACCGGCGGACUCCUUCGGGAGGAAACCGGUGGAACGAGCGGCGGACGGGUGAGUAACACGUGGGCAACCUGCCGGACUGAUGGGAAUAACCCCGGGAAACCGGGGCUAAUGCCCAAUACGCCCUGACCUCGCCUGAGGUCAGCGGUAAAGCAGGGAUCUUCGGAUCCUUGCACAGUCCGAUGGGCCCGCGGCGCAUUAGCUAGUUGGAGAGGUAAGGGCUCCCCAAGGCGACGAUGCGUAGCCGACCUGAGAGGGUGAUCGGCCACACUGGGACUGAGACACGGCCCAGACUCCUACGGGAGGCAGCAGUAGGGAAUCAUCCGCAAUGGGCGAAAGCCUGACGGUGCAACGCCGCGUGAGUGAUGAAGGUUUUCGGAUCGUAAAGCUCUGUUGACAGGGAAGAACCCACGCCAGUCGAACAGGCUGGCGUGCUGACGGUACCUGUCCAGAAAGCCCCGGCUAACUACGUGCCAGCAGCCGCGGUAAUACGUAGGGGGCAAGCGUUGUCCGGAAUUAUUGGGCGUAAAGGGCACGCAGGCGGUUUCGUCAGUCCGAUGUGACAGGCCACGGCUCAACCGUGGAAGGCCAUUGGAAACUGCGAAACUUGAGGACAGAAGAGGAGAGUGGAAUUCCACGUGUAGCGGUGAAAUGCGUAGAUAUGUGGAGGAACACCAGUGGCGAAGGCGACUCUCUGGUCUGUACCUGACGCUGAGGUGCGAAAGCAUGGGGAGCAAACAGGAUUAGAUACCCUGGUAGUCCAUGCCGUAAACGCUGAGUGCUAGGUGUUAGGGGUUUCGAUACCCGUAGUGCCGAAGCUAACGCAUUAAGCACUCCGCCUGGGGAGUACGACCGCAAGGUUGAAACUCAAAGGAAUUGACGGGGGCCCGCACAAGCGGUGGAGCAUGUGGUUUAAUUCGACGCAACGCGAAGAACCUUACCAGAUCUUGACAUCUUCCGCUACGCCUCGAGAGAGGCGGUUCCCCUUCGGGGGACGGAAUGACAGGUGGUGCAUGGUUGUCGUCAGCUCGUGUCGUGAGAUGUUGGGUUAAGUCCCGCAACGAGCGCAACCCCUAAUCUUAGUUGCCAGCAUUCAGUUGGGCACUCUAAGGUGACUGCCGGUGACAAACCGGAGGAAGGUGGGGAUGACGUCAAAUCAUCAUGCCCCUUAUGAUCUGGGCUACACACGUGCUACAAUGG
rnacentral:rRNA from 1 species